rnacentral:rRNA from 1 species
AUACGGAGGGGGCUAGCGUUGUUCGGAAUCACUGGGCGUAAAGCGCACGUAGGCGGGCUGGUCAGUUGGGGGUGAAAUCCCAGGGCUCAACCUUGGAACUGCCUUCAAUACUGCCAGUCUACGAGUCCGGGAGAGGUGAGUGGAAUUCCUAGUGUAGAGGUGAAAUUCGUAGAUAUUAGGAAGAACACCAGUGGCGAAGGCGGCUCACUGGCCCGGUACUGACGCUGAGGUGCGAAAGCGUGGGGAGCAAACAGGAUUAGAAACCCCAGUAGUCC